rnacentral:rRNA from 1 species
UACGAAGGGGGCGAGCGUUGUUCGGAAUCACUGGGCGUAAAGGGCGCGUAGGCGGCCCUUCUUGUCGCGUGUGAAAGCCCCGGGCUCAACCUGGGAAUGGCGCGCGAGACGGGGGGGCUGGAGUUCGGGAGAGGAGCGUGGAAUUCCCAGUGUAGAGGUGAAAUUCGUAGAUAUUGGGAAGAACACCGGUGGCGAAGGCGGCGCUCUGGACCGAGACUGACGCUGAGGCGCGAAAGCGUGGGGAGCGAACAGG